AUAGAGAUGGGGUUUUGCCAUGUUGUCCAGGCUGCUCUCGAACACUUGGGCUCAAAGGAUCCACCCACUUUGGCCUCCCAAAGUGCUGGGAUUAUAGGCAUGAGCCACCAUGCCUGGCCUCCCAGCUGUGUUUGGAAAGGGUCUCUGGUUGUUGUGGAAAAUGCAGACCAGAGCUGGGAUGAAGGUAGGUUUCCCAGGGAAGGCCUAGGUCAGACCCUAAGCUGCUCCUGCCAACCUCGCUUCCAGGGCAGGCAGGCGUUGAUGACGGACAUCUGUGUUGACAACUGCAUCUGCAGCAUCCAGCGCCCAUUCUGGGCCAGCCAGCAGCUCUCUGAGCAGAGACGGGGUCUCGCGUUGUUGCCUAGUCUGUCUUUGUAAGGAAAGAAGGAAACUUCCUUAUCCUGUCACUACACAGCUGCAGUUAACUGUACCCUUUGUUAUGGCCCCUCUUGAACCAAAACAGGGAGCUCCCACCUGAUGAUCAGCACCUCCUCAGCAUUUUCUCUUGCUACCUCACAAGACGGUAAGCUCUCUUUGGAGAAACACAAACAUCUCCUCCCGCCAUGCCCUGUCCUGGUGUCCCAGGCUCUUGGAGAUGCUCAGAAAAUAAACAGAGAGGUGGAACAGCAUGCACAUGACAGCUGAUGAUGGAUGUUGUGGUGACUCCCAAACAGCUUUCCCCACAAACCCUGGAGCCCUGCACCCCAGCCCCCCCGAGCCUCCUCUCUAGGCCUUCUGCGUUGCCAGAAUUGUGAUGGACGGUGGGGCCAUCAUCUGUCCUUCUCCCUGUCCUUCUGGCACACAAAACAGUGCCCAACAUGAGGACAAUUGGGAGGGGUUGGGAGAAAAAAUAAAACUGUUCAUGUAGCCAAGAAGCCAGGCGAGAGGAUUUAUCAUGCAUUCCUCAUGGAGGCCACUCCCUCCACCCCCGACCCCUGACUGGCUCCAGUUUAAACAUUCCCUUUUG
rnacentral:lncRNA from 10 species